rnacentral:rRNA from 1 species
ACACAUGCAGUCGAGCGCGAAUAGGGGCAACCCUUAGUAGAGCGGCGCACGGGUGCGUAACACGUGGAUAAUCUGCCUGGAUGCUCGGGAUAACCAGUCGAAAGAUUGGCUAAUACCGGAUAAGCCCACGGUUUCUUCGGAGACUGAGGGAAAAGGUGGCCUCUGUAUACAAGCUAUCACAACCAGAUGAGUCCGCGGCCCAUCAGCUAGUUGGCGGGGUAAUGGCCCACCAAGGCAACGACGGGUAGCUGGUCUGAGAGGACGAUCAGCCACACUGGAACUGAGACACGGUCCAGACUCCUACGGGAGGCAGCAGUGGGGAAUUUUGCGCAAUGGGCGAAAGCCUGACGCAGCAACGCCGCGUGUGUGAUGAAGGUCUUCGGAUUGUAAAGCACUUUCGACCGGGACGAAAACCCGUAGCCCAACACGCUACGGCUUGACGGUACCGGGAGAAGAAGCACCGGCUAACUCUGUGCCAGCAGCCGCGGUAAUACAGAGGGUGCAAGCGUUGUUCGGAAUUAUUGGGCGUAAAGCGCGUGUAGGCGGCGUGACAAGUCGGGUGUGAAAGCCCUCAGCUCAACUGAGGAAGUGCGCCCGAAACUGUCGUGCUUGAGUGCCGGAGAGGGUGGCGG